UACGGAGGAUGCAAGCGUUAUCCGGAAUGAUUGGGCGUAAAGCGUCCGCAGGUGGCUGUGUAAGUCUGCUGUCAAAGAGCGAAGCUCAACUUCGUAAAGGCAGUGGAAACUACACGGCUAGAGUGCGUUCGGGGCAGAGGGAAUUCCUGGUGUAGCGGUGAAAUGCGCAGAUAUCAGGAGGAACACCGGUGGCGAAGGCGGGUCUCUGGGCCGAUACUGACGUGGAGGAGCGAAAAGCCGUGGGGGAGCGAAACAGG
rnacentral:rRNA from 1 species